CUUCCGGGUUCAUCGGUAGACUUAUUUACCGUUACGCAUAUAGGUAACCCCGAAGAACUCGAGAGAUAUAGAAGUUAAAUUUGUUUCGGUCGUCUUCAGAUUUAAAGGAUUGGAAAGCACAGGUAACAAAAUGCAGAUGUAUAGACAGGGAGGUAUAGAAUAUACUGUUGUUAAAUAUGGACCAUUAAUCAACUGUUUGCAGUGCCUAUGAUCCUGAAUUAUCUAUACAUCAUAGAUAAAAAGGAAAAAGAUGAAGGAGAAUUUGUCCAUGAAGACCUUUAUUGCAACUACCAUCUUCCAGUUCCUUAAUUUGAGAAUGAUAUCAGAGAACACAAAGUUACAGUGAAAUAUUAGUUUAAUAUAAGCCGCUGAGAAUAGUCAAAUAUACUUUCCUGAAGAAGAUGAAUGACAUCCAGCACAAAAAUCUUCAUGUAAAAGGGUACGAUGUUAUACUGUUUGACAGUAUGAUGACCUAAUCUUGUUAAUGCCACAUUGAUAGAAACAGAGUGAAAUAUCUAAAUUUUAUUGCAGUUUUAAGUAUUGAAACUAGAUACUCUAUAUAUACCAAAGUAAAAAACACACCAAAUAUAAAGAUUUUCAUGGAAUCACAGUAUAGUCAUAUGCCAUUAUGGACAUUAAAUGACUAUGACGUAAAGAUGAAAAAGAAAUUGCAAAAAUAUAAUAUAUCAUUACUUACAUUUGUAUAAUAAAACCCAGGUCCCAAAUAAGAGUUUUGAUAAUUAAAUAAUUAGAUGGAUAGAUCAUAGUUUUAUACAAAAUUUAAUAGUAUUGUUUCAUUUCUAACUAUAGAGAAUAGUAUCAAGGCACUGACACUUACCGGUAUAUUCUCCUCCUUUUUUAAAUUGUAUAUACAUGUUAAUAAUUAUGGUACCUAGCAAAUUAUGGUUGAAUUAAAAAAUAUUGACAUUGAAUGACUAUGAUGUAAAGAUGAAAAAGAAAUAGCAAAAAUAUUAUAUAUCGUCUACUUCUAAUAUUGUGAGGUUAUAAUUGAUAAGCUCACACAUUUGCAUCAAUUUUUUUAUAUCAAGCUGACCAUUAUUCAAUUAGAAUAUGAUAAAUAAACUCUAUGAUAAUUUGUUCAUGUAAAUUUUCAAAGUCUUUAAAUUUGUAAAAGGAAAUAUUCUUAUUCUUGUAUCAGUAGACAUUCACAGUGUAAAGUUACAUUCUCCAAAAAACUAAUUAUAAUUUCAAGUACUUUCCUGAAGCUUUCCACUGGAAAAUCAGUGUGAUAUAUUUGCAAAGCAAUGCACUAUAAAUUGUGUAAAAAUAAAUGGUUAU